GAAAAGGAAGGAGUUCAGAACACUGAGCAGACAGUGAAGUGAGUUCUAUAAAAGCCCGGUCUCCUCCCUCAUGUGACCUGCACCAAGAACCACCCAGGGGACUGGAGUCACUGAGUCACAGGAGCCUCUGGAAGGUUCUCAUGACCAAGCCCUUGAGACUAAGAAUCUGGGUGGCCUAAGCUGGAUUGGAUUAAUCACCCAACGCCCCAUCAUGGGACCACUGACUGCAAAACCCUCAAAGCUCUACACUCUUGGGGUGUGAGCAGAAACAGACACGUGCUUACCACUGCUAACAGGCAUCAGUAAAUACUAUUUAAAUACAUGCUUGAUCAUCAUAAGACAUUAAAGAUGUUAAAGAAGUACUUACGUUCCAUGUAUUCGUUUUUAAACUAUCCAUCUCUUUCUGAAU
rnacentral:lncRNA from 1 species